AUUGAACGCUGGCGGAAGGCCUAACACAUGCAAGUCGAGCGAGCGGCGGACGGGUGAGAAAUGUCUGGGAAACUGCCUGAUGGAGGGGGAUAACUACUGGAAACGGUAGCUAAUACCGCAUACCAUCAGAUGUGCCCAGAUGGGAUUAGCUAGUAGGUGGGGUAACGGCUCACCAAGGCGACGAUCCCUAGCUGGCCUGAGAGGAUGACCAGAAACACUGGAACUAAGACACGGUCCAGACUCAGACGGGAGGCAGCAGUGGGGAAUAUUGCACAAUUGGCGCAAGCCUGAUGCAGCCAUGCCGCGUGUGUGACGAAGGCCUUGGGGUUGUAAAGCACUUUCAGCGGGGAGGCGUUACCCGCAGAAGAAGCACCGGCUAACUCCGUGCCAGCCGCCGCGUUAAUUC
rnacentral:rRNA from 1 species